UGAUAGUGAUUUUUAUCCGGAAAACUCCAGCACCUUCCUAUACUACCUACACCUCUCCAAUAUGGCUGCAAUGUGGACGUAAAGGAGCAACGUGCGUCCAUCCAGCGUCUAUGUCUGUGAUCCAGUACACUAGCUAUGGCGCCCUCUAGUGGUAGUCCGCGUCAGCAGGCUAGUGGCUGGGAGGGCUACAUGAUCGCACCCAUGAUCGUACCGGUCCAGGAUGGCUGUAUUGCACUAUUCUGCCAGUGAUGUAUUUAGGGAGUCUGGGAGAGCAGAAAUACACCUGAAAACAAAAUAAUUGACUUGCUCUGAAUUGAAGAAUAUACACAUAUGCGGUUCAGAGGCGGUUACGAGGUUGGACCCAACUAUCACACAUUAUCAUCUGGACGUUGCCGUAGGCGAAAAAGAAUGACUUUAGAGACGCAAUCACUAACCUGAAGCAAACAUUUUUUUGUCUGGUAGGCCUACUGCAAAUCAGGUGAAGAGUGUAGUAAAUAGGCUAAAAGAAAAAGAAAAGAAGAAGGCUAUGUUCUGUUGAAUAAAUGGGGUUCUUUAUUCAGACACAAAAACCUCAAAUAAAACAUUGAAACUUUGACAUUUUCUCCUGACAUAAUUCAUGAAAAUAUGCUGACAUUUAUUUUCAUCAUUGUUGUUCAAGGUUCCUCUUUACGUGUUUUUUCUGUCUUCAUUGAUAUCCAGAGGUUCAGAUAAUGCUCUAAUGAACACGUGGAACAUCAGGGGAGCUACGCCAGGCUGCUCUUCAUAGACUUCAGCUCUGCUUUCAAUACCAUCAUACAAACAGACUUCUCACCAAACUAAUGGACUUGGGUCUUUCACAACCCAUCUGUUAUUGGAUUAAAGACUUUCUGACAGAGCGCUCCCAGAGAGUUAGAGUAGGUGCCCAUCUUUCCUCUGCACUUGCAUCAGCACCGGCUCCCCACAGGGCUGCGUGCUGAGCCCCUAUACUCUACACUCUCUACACCAAUGACUGCAUCCCCAGCCACCCCAGCAAUACCAUCAUUAAGUUUGCGGAUGAUACAACAGUGGUGGGGCUCAUCUCAGGUGGGGAUGAGACUGCAUAUAGAAUAGGAUAGAAAGCUUUAUUGUCAUUAUACAAAGUACAACGAAAUGCAAUGAGCAGCUCCUUAAAAGUGCAC
ensembl:lncRNA